GGUGUUUCUCAAUGUCAAGGAAGGAUCCUUCGAAGCCAGAAUUUCGAGGAUGCUACGUCAUCAACGUCCGUCGAAGGACUGUUCCAAUGUCGAGGAUCCUCCGAAUUCCACCAAGGACUGAGUCCUUCGUUCGGAGAUUUUCCCAUAGACAGCAAAGGAUGCAGAUGUGUAUCCUUCGCGCUCUCAUAUUACCCACAAUCCUAUGCGCGCGGCUUUGCCGGCUUGUUAAAAAAAAUUAAAUGGCGGACCUAAGCGGAGCCGGAGUGACGGGGCAAUAUGCUUUUAUAUGGACUAAAGAACAAACAGAGACAUUUAUACGUCUCCGUUUAGGCAGCAAGCAGCUGUUUACCGGGGGGAGGGACACCGCGGCGAACGGUUAUCGGCUUAUUUUGGAGAAGAUGGGGAUCGGAGGGAGGGUCACCCACGCCCAGGCCAAGAAGAAGUGGGACAAUUUAAAAAUGAAGUACAAGGUGGAAGAUAUUGUAGUUUGGGGUAUUAAUAUGUAUGGACAUAAUUGUUAUGCAUAUUUUAAUGUAACUUGUGAUUUUUGAAGUAAGCUUUGGAUGUAAACCUGACAGACUUGGGCCUGCUGACAGUAAGUUUAGUGUUGUGUACAAUAGUAGUAAUACAUCAUCACAACAACCUUUUAAUCUUCACUGUUUAGGAAUGCAAGUGUCCUGCAACAGGUCAGGGGACAGAGGAUGGGAAGGCAACGGCAGCAACUUGGCCCUGGUUUGCCCUCAUGGACAAGGCAUUAGGGCAGUCUGCGGCAGUCUCGCCCCCCUGCCUUAUUGCCUCGAUCCAAGAGGACAAACCAGGGCCAAGCACUGCACAAGAGGUAGAGGAAGGGAGAGACGAGGAGGAGGAGGAGGAGAAGAGAGACAGCAGCAAAGAGAGAGCAGGGAACAGAGGAGAGAAGAGGAGAAGGGAGAGAGAGGAUCCAUUCCUCCAACUCCUCAAGGAGGACAUUAAAUAU